AACAAAAUGCAGCAGUCACUCUCGAACCCCACCCUGCAACCUUCUGCUUUGGAGGAUCCACAUUUCCAAACUGUUAGCUCUUGGGAACAGAGCAGAUGGAUUCUGUACAGUUUCAAAGAGGUUUCUUAGCAGAAAAUCCUAGAGAGCAGUCCAAGUAAAUGCAGCGAAUGAAGAGAAAAAUAUGCUUUGCCACUUUAAAUCACUGAUUCUUUUUGGCCCAUCCUCCCCUAGAGGAAACUGGAAGGAUCUCCAACACGCAUUUUCAUACCAGGCUUUCAUGACUUCCUCUUAUUCAGAUUGUGAGGCCAAGUGAGCUGUGUGGAAAAGAAAUGAAGAAGAAAGAAAGAGGAGAGAGAGGAAGAAGGAAGGGAAAAUCUUCAGUUGUUACAAGGAAAGCAACAAAAAAUAUGAUUCCUUGAAGGACCCAUCUUUCUCUUGACUCUCCCCAUCCUGCUCCAGUAUCAGAGCGAUUGCCAGUAUUUAAUAACACUUUAUCCACAGCUAUGGGGUGCUGCUUCUGUUAUUCAACUCUUAUUUUUAAAAUUGCUAACGCUGUGAAGUUUGAAUUUUUUGGUUGUGCUUUUUUUUUAAUUAAAAAAGAGUUGAAAGAGGAUGCAGUUUUGUGUGAGGUGCUACUAAAAAUACUACACAACUACUAAGUAUACUUAAUAUACAAAAUUCUGGCUAAUGGAAUAACAUGCCAGCGUACAGGGACUGUUAUGUGAACAAACCAAUGGAAAGAAUCUAUUUCAUAUAUAAUAUGCAGACACACACAUAUAUACCCAGAGACUAUGAUGACAAUGGGAAUUUUCCUUUUUUUCUACUUUUAUUAUUAGUAAGGCUGCAAGUCUGUCAUGGAGGUCAC